rnacentral:lncRNA from 1 species
GGACGGGACCCGCGGCUGUGCUGCAGACAGGAGAAAAAAGAAAGAUCUUGAUGUUCUGGAAAUGCCAUCUAUUCCAAACCCUUUUCCUGAGCUAUGCUGCUCUCCAUUUACAUCUGUGUUGUCAGCAGGCCUGUUUCCCAGAGCAAAUUCAAGGAAAAAACAGGUAUGGCUUUGUCAACUAACACCUUGGCGAUUAUCAAAUUAAGAG